rnacentral:rRNA from 1 species
GUCUACGGCCACAGCACCCUGAACAUGCCUGGUGCCCGAUCUCAUCUGAUCUGGGAAGCUACGCAGGGUUGGGCCUGGUUAGUCGUUGGAU